UCCGGUUUGGCACCGGCAGUCCCCCCAGAGUCCUCGGCAUGACCCGUUAGCAACAGGGGGCGGGGGUUGCGCUCGUUGCGGGACUUAACCCAACAUCUCACGACACGAGCUGACGACAGCCAUGCAGCACCUGUGCUGGAGUCCCGAAGGAGGCCUCUGGUUUCUCAGAGGUUUCCCCAGCAUGUCAAGCCUAGGUAAGGUUCUGCGCGUUGCGUCGAAUUAAACCACAUGCUCCACCGCUUGUGCGGGCCCCCGUCAAUUCCUUUGAGUUUCAGCCUUGCGGCCGUACUCCCCAGGCGGGGCACUUAAUGCGUUAGCGACGACACUCAGGGGGUCGCUCCCCCAAGCAUCUAGUGCCCAUCGUUUACGGCGUGGACUAC
rnacentral:misc_RNA from 1 species